GCAGGCUUGAGUCUUGUAGAGGGGGGUAGAAUUCCAGGUGUAGCGGUGAAAUGCGUAGAGAUCUGGAGGAAUACCGGUGGCGAAGGCGGCCCCCUGGACAAAGACUGACGCUCAGGUGCGAAAGCGUGGGGAGCAAACAGGAUUAGAUACCCUGGUAGUCCACGCCGUAAACGAUGUCUACUUGGAGGUUGUGCCCUUGAGGCGUGGCUUCCGGAGCUAACGCGUUAAGUAGACCGCCUGGGGAGUACGGCCGCAAGGUUAAAACUCAAAUGAAUUGACGGGGGCCCGCACAAGCGGUGGAGCAUGUGGUUUAAUUCGAUGCAACGCGAAGAACCUUACC
rnacentral:rRNA from 1 species